rnacentral:rRNA from 1 species
UACAGAGGGGGCAAGCGUUGUUCGGAAUUACUGGGCGUAAAGGGCUCGUAGGCGGCCAACUAAGUCGGAUGUGAAAUCCCCCAGGCUCAACCUGGGAACUGCAUCCGAUACUGAUGGCUUGAAUUCGGGAGAGGGAUGCAGAAUUCCAGGUGUAGCGGUGAAAUGCGUAGAUAUCUGGAGGAAUACCGGUGGCGAAGGGCGGCAUCUGGACCCGACAUUGACGCUGAUGAGCGAAAAGCUAGGGGGAG